rnacentral:misc_RNA from 1 species
CACAAAUUAAAAUAUGAAGGCUUCGGCUGGAUUAUUUUUAUCACCCUUGUCUUUUGCGCACUUGUUGUUUCCUGGGCGGGUUCGCCCGCCACCAGGACCACACCAUAAACCUUUUUUAUGCAGUUGCAAUCAGCGUCAGUAUAACAGAUGUAAAUCAUUUA